rfam:Betaproteobacteria bacterium RIFCSPLOWO2_12_FTLL_65_110 rifcsplowo2_12_scaffold_73353, whole genome shotgun sequence.
AAGAGCGUAGUGCGGGAAAUCCGCACGCUACGUUCUGUGGGAACCGGAGGCGGGUAAUCGCCUCCGGUGAUCCGGU